GUGAGUAUAGCUCAGUGGCAGAGUGCAUACUUAGCAUGAAUGAGGGCCUGGGUUCAAUCCCCAGUAAGUACC
rnacentral:tRNA from 1 species